ensembl:snRNA U1 U1 spliceosomal RNA
UUGCUUACCUGGCAGGGGAGGUUUCAUGCUCAAGUAUGUGUUCCUCCCAGGCUGAGGCUCUACCACUGAACUUCAGUAGAGUCGCCUCCUUCAAACUCCCCAAAUGUGGGAAUCAGAAAAACUUUAUUUAUCCCGGAGGAAAUUGUUUGUG